rnacentral:rRNA from 1 species
GACGAAGGAUGCAAGCGUUAUCCGGAUUCAUUGGGUUUAAAGGGAGCGUAGGUGGCCUUAUAAGUCAGUGGUGAAAUCUCUCAGCUUAACUGAGAAAUUGCCAUUGAUACUGUAGGGCUUGAGUACAGAUGCCGUUGGCGGAAUAUGACAUGUAGUGGUGAAAAUACAUAGAGAUGUCAUAGAACACCGAUUGCGAAGGCAGCUGACGAAACUGUAACUGACACUGAGGCUCGAAAAGUGCGGGGGAUCAAACAGG